rnacentral:rRNA from 1 species
UGCGUAACGCGUAUGCAACAUGCCUUCCAGGCGGGGGAUAUACCAGGGAAACUUGGCGCAAUACCCCAUAGAAUUACGGGACCGCAUGGUCUUGUGAUUAAAACUCCGGUGCUGGGAGAUUGGCAUGCGUGACAUUAGCUAGUUGGCGGGGUAACGGCCCACCAAGGCGACGAUGUCUAGCUGGUCUGAGAGGAUGAUCAGCCACACUGGGACUGAGACACCGGCCCAGACUCCUACGGGAGGCAGCAGUAGGGAAUAUUGGACAAUGGGGGAACCCUGAUCCAGCCAUGCCGCGUGAGGGAAGAAGGUCCUCUGGAUUGUAAACCUCUUUUGGCAGGAAACAAACCUGCGCUAUACGCGCAGCUGAGGGUACCUGCAGAAUAAGCACCGGCUAACUACGUG